rnacentral:lncRNA from 1 species
UGGUCUCCUUUUUAUGUCUGCUUCUCAAGCAACCAAGAUUUCACAUUUCUUUACGUGUUAAUAUAGAUAUUUAAUUAAGGCUCAUCUUCAUGGUCACUAAUAAUCCCACAAUAUACUAGUUAGAUACAAGACACCAUCAUGGGAUCUAUGGCUAAUUUACACUUGGGACACAUAUGAGACUUUUUAUCUACUAGAAAGGUCAAAUGGAAUAAGAAUAUUGCUAUUUGCAAUCCACAUUUUACAUAAACAAACUAAUAUACGCUUAAUAAAAAAUAUAUUUUAUAUGAACUGCAUUAGUAACUGUGUAUUAUACAUAUACAUAGUAUUAAGAACAUCUAAUGAAUUCGUAAUUUAACUUUGUUUUUACAUCAGUCAAAUUGAUAGUUAUUGAAUCUUGCGCCUGUACCGUAAUAUAGAAUGCACAAGUAUUACAAGGACUACAAAUAGCAAUUGACUAGAAUAACCUUACCUAGUCAAGUGCAUAACAUCUACAUUGGUCUUUACAUACCUUGUCAUGACAACAAGGCUGACAACAAGGCUAUAUGUGGUCAUAUAACAACACCCAAAUCAGUCAUAGAUCUAGCAAUCGAAAUCCAAUUGUGGAGAAAAAAUUGACAAAUGAGUAAUUUUUCCCAUGGAAUAAAACCAGUGAAUCCCAUUACGGUUUUCAUUUUGAUAUUUGCUGGGUUCAUUUCUUGUUCUUGUAUAUGUACCUCUAAUUAGUAUGUGGUAUUAUUUGUAUGUUUGAUGUUUCAAUCCCGUGUUUGAUGUUAUGGGAAGUUUUGUUUGUUGAGUACAUUUCCAUGUUUAUAGGUACAAAGUUUUAUACCUGUCAAUGUUCUAUAGUACUAACUUUUGAGUUCAAGAACUUUCCUGUGAUAGUGGGUACUGACUAUUGUUUGAAUUUUACAGGUACCAAUUUUGGUGUUAUGAUAUCGAAUUACACUUCAAUAUCAAAGUUUUAUCGAAGUUUCAAGCAGAAAAAGACUUGGAAAACCUGGUCUAGAAGAAGAAGCCAAAGAAGAAGAAGUCGAUCUGAAAGAAGUGAAGAAGAAGCCGAUUUGAAAGAAGAGAAGAAGCAGAAAAAGAAAGUAGUUAUGAGUUUUUUUAUAUUGUGUCAGUACCAUUGAGAGGUUGGUGGGAAUGAUUUUGUUGUGCCUUGUACCAUAUGUAGUUUGUAGAUACUUGUUUUGUCAACAAAAUUCUGAUUAGUCACAUAUUAGUAUCCAGCCAAUUGAAGAACAAAACCCAAUAAAAAAGGAAGCGGUUAAGGAAAUAUUAAGUCAUUAACCUAAUUAAAUGAUUUGAUAAAUAAAAAAUUAAAGUUAUUUCUACUAAAAAUAGGACAUGUUUAUGAAAGAGAAAAAAAAUUAAAAUAUCCAUCAAAUUAAGACCAUUUAAUCUUAAUAACUAAAAUGAAUAAUAAAUUGAAGUGUUGUUAUAUGACAAUGUGUUGCCAUAGGAGGUGCAUAAGCUCAAUAAGAUUCAACUUAAAUCUUGAAUAUGGUAAAUAUUGUAAAUAUCCUGUUAAUUCGGGAUACCCAAAAUUACGUUAUGCCAUAUCAAAUAUUUCUUUUUUACUAAAUUAAGAUUGGGGAUUAAUUUGUACCAAUUCUACCCAUGAAAUCUGUCUGGCCAUUGGUUUUAAGGGUUAGGAUUUGUUAGAGAACCUCUAAUACCCUAUUUCUUUGAACCAGAGUCGGAUCCUAAAAUUAAUCAUAAUAGCAUUAUAGCAAACAAUAAGAAAUCAUAAAUAAGUUUAUCAUAUCAUCUGGAGAGUUAGGGUUUCCUAUGAUCCGCAGAGAUUUGACUAAGGUUUUCAGUCAGUGUUUUUUUCGCAUCUCUCUCACACCAUCGUUGUUCGAUUGCAAUGAAGACCAUGGCCACUAUGGAGAAACCAGGUUGCUAAUUUGAGGCUUACCGACCCGGUGGAGGAGGCGAUGUUCCUAAUGGAGCUGGUUGAGAAGCCGCCCGACCAAAAGUACCAAUUGUGUGUGGUGGGCAUCUUCCUCACCAAGAAGGGAGUUCAGGAUCUGGCAAUGUGUAAGGGGGUGCCACCACCCAAUCAGCCAGGAGCGACCGGUCCAGUUCUCUAAACCAAGACGAUGGAAAGACUAAGUUCCCCGCCUCCCUUGGUAAUUCGAAUUAGGAUGUUGUUGUUUGCAUCCAAGUUUGCUAUAUUUUUUUACCUUGUUUUUAUUUUUGUUGUUGUCUCGUUUGAUUCCUUUUUAGUUUUUUUGUUUUCUAUCUCUCAUUGCCAUCCCGUCAUGUUAGAGAGAAAGGAUUGAGACGUUUUGUUCGCAAAGGGCUCGCAAUUCAUGUAGUCUCGCAAGUGGGUAUGCUCUGAGAAGCAAACAACAAUAGUAAUAAUGACAGGAGAGGAUAUGGUUUAGUGGUAUGAAAAUGCAGCAAACAGUUGUCCAAUUAUUAUUUGCCUUUCUCGAUCCUAAAUUCAUCAACAACAAAUAGUAUACACAUACACAGCUGGAUUUACAAGGCAGCCGUCCUUCACUCACAAACAUGCAUAACACGUACAAUAGGAGGAAAAGCUCUUUCUUAUUAAAACUCCAAUCAUCAACCCCAAGUUACCCACAAAUCUUCUAAGUCAACAAUAUUUAGAUCGACUUUUAAUUUGGCCAUUGAUUAGGGAUUGCCUCAUCAAUUUCAUUCUUUGCUCCCUGUGAAGAUUUUCCCAAUAUCGACCCUUCUCCAUGUGAUUUUUUUUAAUGAAUCUCAUAGCUUAAGCAUCUUAAGAAUUGCACAAUCUCACUGAGUUGUCAUUGCUGUCCAACCCCCCUUAAGACCAUUUCCAGUUAUAAUUCAAUUUCAGCCCAUACCAUGAAGCAGUUAAACCAUCUGUGUCAUCCCCUAAUCACAAUACUCUUUGAUGGACCUACUACAUUUCAAAAUUAAGUUUAAUUUAUGAAGCACCCAUAAAAGAUAUCACCGAAGAUAUUCUCCAGUGGAUAACAUAAACUUGAAGACUUUUCUGACACUACUAAUCUAACCUCCUAUCUAGAGAGGAUGAUCCUAUGCGAGACCGACCGAGUUAAGACUUUCAAAUACAAUUCAUCUAUGUGAAGGUUCAAGUGAGUGCCAAAGGAACAUUAUUAAACGUGAUAACUAGUGACAUAUAAUGUAGGAAAAUCAGUCAGAUACUUACAUCUUGUUGAAGUAGUCGUUGCAACGGUGGUCCAAGGCGGUACACUUUGUGUUGAAAUUUGCAAAAGAGAUACAAUGAACCUGUUGAGAAUAAGAACAAAGAAUGUUAAUAUCCAGGAAGCUGGAAAGGAAAAAAUACUGAAACAGAGGUUAGGUGUGUGAUUUUCAUCUAGAACUAGAAGAUCAUAGCAACUCAGUCGGUGAUCACAGUGAUGUAAGGUGUGUGGAUAUAUGGGAUUAGAUAUAUAAAUUCGAUGGUCCCAGCAGCUAAGUAAGAAGAUCUAUGAUGAGAUCAUACUGAUAUCUAAUAUCCAACAGGAACUAGUUACAAGUAGAGUUUGUGAAGAACAUGCGAGGCAGCAUCCAGGGUAUACAACAUCACAAAGAUACACCACUAUUUAACAUAGAUAUAGACAAGAUUUGAAGAAGAGGUAAGACGAAUUAGAUAUACUAGAGUUUGUCAUGACGUAAUUGAAGAUUGGUUUCAGACUCAGUUGGGUCGGUGAGCCAGUCAGACAGAUUCUUUGCACCUCUAUAAUCUCAAAUCUUGGGAAAAUGACAAAACAAUUCAGCAGUCCCUUGCUUUCUUCUUCAGUUUCAUGUUGGUUGGACCCUUAACCUCCCAAUUAACAAAAUGUAUAGGGAUUGAGGAGGACGAAACAUCUAGCAACCUUCACACUCGGCACAACAGCUUUAGAAAAAAUUAUAAGUUGCAAGAGAAACCGUUGACAAAAAGGUAUUAACUGGUCUCUAGACAGAAUCAUUUUUACCAUAUAAUAUUAUUCAACAACUUCAAGAAGCAAACUUGAACUAGAAUAAUAAGAGCAUUUAAAGCUGGAGUAUAUUACUAUAUUCUCUUAACGAAUUUUCUAACUUAUACCACGCCUAUAUAUAAGAUCUGAUCAUGGUAGCUAAGGAACAUACCAGCACUCCCUUCUCCUUCUUGUCUAUUCCUUCCCCCACGUCUUCCACCUCAGACUCAACUCCUCUGCGCUGUUACAUUCCAUUUCUGGCCAAAGCAAAUCAUCAACGUUAUAAGUCAUUGCUCAUCUUUCCUUUUCUACUUGCACAUUGAAGUUCAAAAACAAGCAUGUGGGUGUUCUUCUUUGGAACUUUGCUUGUUAUAGGCCUCAUACGUUGGGUAUACCUUUGGAGAAAUCCCAGAUGCAAUGGCAAACUCCCACCAGGUUCAAUGGGCUUACCACUCCUUGGUGAGACCUUUGACUUCUUUGCUCCCAACACAACUUCUGAGAUUCCUCCUUUUGUUAAAGAGAGGAUGAAAAG